GACGAACGCUGGCGGCGUGCUUAACACAUGCAAGUCGAACGGAAAGGCCCUGCUUUUGUGGGGUGCUCGAGUGGCGAACGGGUGAGUAACACGUGAGUAACCUGCCCUUGACUUUGGGAUAACUUCAGGAAACUGGGGCUAAUACCGGAUAGGAGCUCCUGCUGCAUGGUGGGGGUUGGAAAGUUUCGGCGGUUGGGGAUGGACUCGCGGCUUAUCAGCUUGUUGGUGGGGUAGUGGCUUACCAAGGCUUUGACGGGUAGCCGGCCUGAGAGGGUGACCGGCAACAUGGGGAGUGAUAGACGGCCAACACCCCUGGGGGGGGAAGCGGGGGGGAUUAUGGCAAAAGGGGCGGAGGCCGGAGGCAGCACCGCCGCGGGGGGGAGGAGGGCCUUGGGUUUGUAACCCGUUUUCGCCGGGGACGAAGGGGGAGGGAGGUUAAGGGAUAAAGAGCCGCGGCAAAGCUACGUG
rnacentral:rRNA from 1 species